rnacentral:tRNA from 1 species
GCCGAUGGCCGAGUGGUUAAGGCAUUGGACUUAAAUUCCAAUGGAUGUAAAUCCACAUCGGUUCGAACCCCACUCCUGGUA